rnacentral:rRNA from 1 species
GUACUCCGGGGAUAACAGGCUGAUACCGCCCAAGAGUUCAUAUCGACGGCGGUGUUUGGCACCUCGAUGUCGGCUCAUCACAUCCUGGGGCUGAAGUAGGUCCCAAGGGUAUGGCUGUUCGCCAUUUAAAGUGGUACGCGAGCUGGGUUUAGAACGUCGUGAGACAGUUCGGUCCCUAUCUGCCGUGGGCGCUGGAGAACUGAGGGGGGCUGCUCCUAGUACGAGAGGACCGGAGUGGACGCAUCACUGGUGUUCGGGUUGUCAUGCCAAUGGCACUGCCCGGUAGCUAAAUGCGGAAGAGAUAAGUGCUGAAAGCAUCUAAGCACGAAACUUGCCCCGAGAUGAGUUCUCCCUGACCCUUUAAGGGUCCUGAAGGA